GCAGAGCACUCCUAGGGAGGCAGCAGUGGGGAAUAUUGCACAAUGGGCGCAAGCCUGAUGCAGCCAUGCCGCGUGUAUGAAGAAGGCCUUCGGGUUGUAAAGUACUUUCAGCAGUGAGGAAGGUGGGUAUGUUAAUAGCAUACUCAUUUGACGUUAGCUGCAGAAGAAGCACCGGCUAACUCCGUGCCAGCAGCCGCGGUAAUACGGAGGGUGCGAGCGUUAAUCGGAAUUACUGGGCGUAAAGCGCAUGCAGGUGGUUUGUUAAGUCAGAUGUGAAAGCCCGGGGCUCAACCUCGGAAUUGCAUUUGAAACUGGCAAACUAGAGUACUGUAGAGGGGGUAGAAUUUCAGGUGUAGCGGUGAAAUGCGUAGAGAUCUGAAGGAAUACCGGUGGCGAAGGCGGCCCCCUGGACAGAUACUGACACUCAGAUGCGAAAGCGUGGGGAGCAAACAGGAUUAGAUACCCUGGUAG
rnacentral:rRNA from 1 species